CUGGCAGCGAGGGAGUAAUGAGCGGGGAGGUGCCCGCAGGCUCGGCCUUCACCUUCCCGCUGGCUGUGACCUUGGGCGGUCCCUGAAGCGGAGCAGGGUUUCUUCGCAGGGGCCCCAGUCACUGCAUCUGAGAAGGCAGAGGGAAACGCUCUCCCUUCCUCACAGAGCUGUUGUGUACAGAGCCACUCAGAUCCUGGCACAGGGCAAGGGAAAACCAGGUGCUUGGAAGAACUGAGGCAUCGGUGACGAGAUGCUGUCACCAAGGUACCACGUCAGAGUGCUGAGGCCUGACCAUGCUCCUGAAUAACCAGCACAGGGGAGCAAGCCGAGAAGAUCAGGAAUUUCAGUUAAGUGUUCCUGCCCAGCUCUGAAAAUGCCAGAAGAGAGACACAUUUCCCCAUCCACCGGCUCCCUCUAAAAAAUCUUAUCUGUCCCUGGGGAGCCCCUUAUCCUUUAUAUCAACCAAUGGAAAGGACAUUUGGAGGACACUUUAUCCAAUGCUUCUUUAACAUUAGAUUUGAACCUGCUCACCCACAGCUUUUUUAGACACAAUUGAAAAUAAACAUUGCAAAGUCUUGCUCACUGAGCUGUAAGUA